ACGGAAGGCAGCAGUGGGGAAUAUUGCACAAUGGGGGAAACCCUGAUGCAGCGACGCCGCGUGAGUGAAGAAGUAUUUCGGUAUGUAAAGCUCUAUCAGCAAGGAAGAAAAUGACGGUACUUGACUAAGAAGCCCCGGCUAACUACGUGCCAGCAGCCGCGGUAAUACGUAGGGGGCAAGCGUUAUCCGGAUUUACUGGGUGUAAAGGGAGCGUAGACGGUAAUGCAAGUCAGAAGUGAAAGCCCAAGGCUCAACCAUGGGACUGCUUUUGAAACUGUAAUACUAGAGUGCAGGAGAGGUAAGUGGAAUUCCUAGUGUAGCGGUGAAAUGCGUAGAUAUUAGGAGGAACACCAGUGGCGAAGGCGGCUUACUGGACGGUAACUGACGUUGAGGCUCGAAAGCGUGGGGAGCAAACAGGAUUAGAUACCCUGGUA
rnacentral:rRNA from 1 species